GACGAACGCUGGCGGCGUGCUUAACACAUGCAAGUCGAACGGAAAGGCCCUGCUUGCAGGGUGCUCGAGUGGUGAACGGGUGAGUAACACGUGGGUGAUCUGCCCCUUACUUUGGGAUAAGCCUGGGAAACUGGGUCUAAUACUGGAUAGGACCAUGCUGUAGGUGGUGUGGUGGAAAGAUUAGUUUCGGUAAGGGAUGAGCUCGCGGCCUAUCAGCUUGUUGGUGGGGUAAUGGCCUACCAAGGCGUCGACGGGUAGCCGGCCUGAGAGGGUGGACGGCCACAUUGGGACUGAGAUACGGCCCAGACUCCUACGGGAGGCAGCAGUGGGGAAUAUUGCACAAUGGGCGCAAGCCUGAUGCAGCGACGCCGCGUGGGGGAUGACGGCCUUCGGGUUGUAAACUCCUUUCAGCCAUGACGAAGCCCUUGUGGUGACGGUAGUGGUAGAAGAAGCACCGGCUAACUACGUG
rnacentral:rRNA from 1 species